AGCAGCGAACGGCACCCGUGCGCGCGUCUUACUCUCUUCCUCGUCGCUUUCCGCGCAUUCGUCCUCCGCAUCUUCCUCGUUUUGAGCAGGUAUUCUUUUCGUCUCUUUGCUGCAUCGCGCUCUCUCUCGCAGACCGUUGUGGGCCAUUGGUGAGUCGGCGUGCGCGCGCGCCUCAUCGUAAAGGAGCUUGCAUACCGAGUCGCCGCAGGCGUUCUUCAUAUUUUUGCACGGCAGGAAGCAAGCUAGACGUCGAACGAAAACGCGAGGGAGACACGCACGCAUACUCCGGAACUCUGCCCAUACGUACUGCUGCAGUGGCAUUCAACCCGCCUCAGUGGCGGAGGCGCAAGCCGCCACCUUCAAGCCCACAGCCCCAUACACACGCUCGCACAUACACACUCACACUCACACUCCCUCUGCUUGUGUGCGUGUGCGUGUGUGUGUGUGUGUGCACACAUUUGACUUGGCUCGUUUCGUUUUAUAUAUUUCCUGCUAAGGCGCAUUUUUAUUCUCCUCUUUGAUUGAGUUAUUCAUCAUCAUCAUCACUCUCCUCCCUUUUUUCCUUCCUUCGUCUCUGUGCCUCCCCCCCCCCCGCCCCAUCCCCGCCCCAUCCCCAUCCCCCCCCGCCCUUCUCUCUCCCUCUUCUGGGGGGGAUCUCCACCGCAUCCGCUUUGCAUGCCCGUGAAUUCGUAGUUAUUGGCAUACAUUUAUGUAUAAUUUCUCUUUGCUUUCGCAGCCUUUUUCAGUCGACACACACACACACACACACACACACACACAGAGAGAGAGAGAUACGCGGCGGGAGGAGACAAACAGAAAGAAAAACGAAGAGCGCCUGCCCACCCAUACAAACGCAUCACACACACGUACAGCCGAGGGAGGGGGGCAGGUGGGUGAAAAACAAAAAAAAACAAAAAGCAGGUCGCUACUAGAGGCUGAGAGAGGCUUUAUAUUUAUUACAUGCAUGUACACCACCUCCUUUUAUUUAUUUUGGUUAUUAUUAUUAUUUUGUGUGUGUGCGCGCGUGUUGACGGCUGUCCUGAUUGAGGACAUUCGCGGCCUUCUUCUCGUUGGGGCAUUUCUUUGGUGGCCGUCGUGGUUUCGCUUCUACCUUGUGUGUGUGUGUGUUAGGUGCGCGCUCUCCCUGUUUGUUCUCUCAUCGUCUUUCAUCUUUGUGUGCGUCACUGCAGCCGUUGUCGUUUGCUUGGAUCGAAGAAAAAAGGAGUCGGCCCCCUCCCCUCCCCUCAACCCUCUCCGUGUUGUUUGAUCUCUGGAGCUGACAACCUCAUCCCCCUCUUUUUGUUUUCGCGUGCUUACUGUUGCUUUGCCCGCCUUGCGAUUUCCUAUGCCCCCUUGCGUACGUGUGCGCGUGCGUGCUUCUCCUUGUUGCAUUCAUCUUCCCUCGUGGGCCAAUUUCAGCUUCGUCUCUGUGCGUUUUGGCUCGGGUGGUGCUGGAGAGCGAGUAGGCGUGCGCGUGUGCGUGUGAGAACAGAAGUGGUGGCCUCCUCCCUCCUUGCAUCCUCUUCACUCGCUUUUUUCGCUUUUCGCUAUUUUUUUUUUCUUUCGGGUCUGUCUGCGAGGCGGGCUGCAACACGAUAUAUUUUUUUCGAAAUUGGAUGGUGGCGCGCUCGUUGGUGAAGUGACCAGAAGGAUCCGGUCAUCUGGUGGGCUACUCGAGUAUCACCGGUGCAUCACUCUCACGUACCCCGUCACCGCCCUUCACGCAUCCUCCAUCGCUACGCAGUCGCAGCACGGUCGCAACGACCUCUGCCGCAUCACGCAUUCUCUCAUUCUUUCUCGCUUUCCCGCUUUGGUUUUGGUUGGCAUCCUCUUCGCUGUGCAUUCUUUCACCAUACGCGCCCUCCCCCCUCUGCCAGCUUUCGUGUUCCGUCUCUCGUUGUUUCAUUCAUUACUGCCUUCCUCUUGUCGUUACCCUUGAUGCCAAGUAGCAAUCUUGUGACGGACGCGUACCACAACACCGAGUUGGCAAUCAACGUUUUCUUUUCCAUCCACACCGAUGCGAAUCCCGUCAUGGGCAGGAAAGCGACAAAGGCUUCAGUAGUCCCCAUCGCUGCCUCGCUGCUUCCGGCAAACGCCGCAGUCAUGAUCGACGAUGACCUCACGCCUGGCGUGGCUGACUUUGGCGCCACCACAGAGCCAGCUGUGCGUAGCCCGUCAUCCGUUGAGCGCGAGGUUUUUGAGAAUUCCAUCGCAGACAUCGGCGGCGGCGGCGCCCUAUCUCAGUCAGUGGUGAGCCGCCGCGACAUGUCGCUUGCGGACAUCUCCCGAAUGCGACUGGAAGGCUGCCGUGCGCGGCACACACUCUUCGCCGCUACCACGUCACUACGUGGCAGCAUGGCCUCGUCGCUGCGGUCUACCUCGGGGUCGCCCAUGCUCCCGCUGACUGGCCGCGUGCGUGAUCAUGCGGGGAUCUGCGGCGAAACCACCUCGGCAGCCAUAUCGGCAGUCUCACAAGCGCCUGCGUGGUCGUCCCUGAAUGGGCUUGGUCGCUCAUUCAACCGCCGCUCCAGCAUGCUAUCGGUGCGCACAAACGCACUGGACACGUCGAUUGCCAUUCUUCAGCACAUGGCGCACGACACGGCUGCUCGUGCCGAGGCUGCCUGCAAUGCUCAAUCUCUCGCCGGCACCCCGUCCACCGCCACCUCCGCCUGUGGAUCCGUCGCGCUGCCCUCGUUGCAGCCGACACAGCCCUAUCCAGAGGACACCCACGCCGGCGCCCGCGGUUACAAGGUGGUGGGAAGUGGUAACACAGCUUCGGUGGAGGACAGUUGUAGCGGCAGCGGCCAGCACACGCCCGUGCUGCACACCGUGCACACGCGACAGUUCACCAGCGCUUCGGACUCUUCCUCUCCGCUGAACUCGCUCUCUGAGUCGGAGCUGUGCAGCGGGCACCUGCGCGCUGGCGGUCGCUCACAUUUGUCUGCACAGGCCUCGGCAACACACCUCACCGGCAGCGGUGGCGUUGCCAAGGCGGCGUCGGACUUACAGCACAGCUCCCCACGGUCUCACCCGGACGGAUCUCCCUUGGCUGCAAGGCGGCAGACGAUUGCCACAGCGGAUCAUCGAGCACCCCAUCAUUCAGUGGCGGUCGCCGCCACAGAGGUUGCCCUGCCAAGCGCACAGAACCAGACGACCGACGUAAGCGUCUACAACCACGACUUCCAGCACAUUGUCCCACUCGAAGUAAAGGAGGCGCUCCAGCGUAACAUGCGCCCAAUCUGCGAGGACGACGAUGACGACGACGACGACGCGCUGCUGCACGACGGGCUGAGUGCGCCGACGCCGCCGCCGCUGACAUCCUUCGCGAACGUGACGCACAGCAUGUACGAGGACACCUGCCAUUUGGACACUCCGUCCAACUAUGUGCGCACUCGUGGCACCGGCAGCGUUGGUGGUGCCGGCACGGAGAUCGCGGAUGCCCCGUUCAGCUUUCCUCCGAGUACCCUUCACGCACCUAGUCGACUCUUUGCUUCACCAAACGCACCGGCGCUGCAGACAGCCACAUCCUCGAUGAUUGCCUGGCAAACAGGCGGCACUGGCGGGGCCAAGUCGAUCCGUCCAUUCGAUAGUGACACGGCGGAGACACUGGCGGCUGGCCUGAGCAUCAGCGGUACGGGAGUACCCUUCCAGGCAUGGAAGUUUCCGAGUUUGGGCAAGCCGAACUCCGCGUCGUCGCUGCGCAAGACGUCGCUCGGCGAGAAUGGGAACGCGGAGGCGUUGCCGGAGGGCGCGGUGGGAGGUGCGGCCGCGGUGCAUCAGCCGACUGUUCCACUUUCCGAGCACUGCAGCCACCCCACUCGCGAGACCCUCAUGCCGGGAUCGCCGCAGCGGCAGUGCAGUGAGUCUCCUCCGCUCACCCGAAACGGACUUCAGGCCACCAGCAAGCACAUCACCCUCAAAACGGCAGCUACGCCGUGCUCUUCCGUGGCGGUCGGUGCCCUGUCUGGCUCUGGCGACGUUGGCCCGCGCGCAGCGUCGCUGCUGUCCGGUGUGGACGGCACUCAUCGAACGUCCUCAGUUGUGCACGGCACCCCGAUGCGCACCAAUGACGGCGCAGGUGGGCGCUUUGUGCAGCCUGCUGUCGCGCAGGGAUCGCCAUCUAGCGCGGCUGGCAGCUUGAGCGCCGCCGCUGACAGCAGCAACACGCGCAAGCUGGAGAUGAUGUACACAGUCUAUGAGCGGCUGCUGCACGCACGGCCUCCCGACAACAGCUUCCCUGAGGCUACCCCAAGGAGUCUGCAGACGCUGACCUCGCGAAGUCUGACUGAGGAGGUGACGCCGCCGCUGGACACAUCGCCGUCGCCGCCGGCUGCCCAGCAAGCGCCGCAAUCUGGUGCCGCCGGCGCUGGCUUCGAGGCAAUGAGUCAGGGUGACUGUUCUCCAUCGAUGUCCUACUCCGGCGCUCUGAGUCGCUCGGCGGGUUACUACAGCUUCGGUAAGCGGAUCAGUCUCAGUCACCCGAACAAGCAGACGCUGCCACACCAGUUCCUCGGCAGCGCCGCAAACCUGCAUGCGAUGUCGUCGCCGCCGCGCGUGGCGAUGAUCGGCACCCCCGCAGUGGCAGACAUGAUCGUGGCGUCGAACGGUAACAGCAGUGGCUCAGCCAUGGCUUUCUCGUCUACUGCGCGCGCGCGCCGACGUACUCUGGACUUGUCGGUGCUGCAGCGCAUCGACUCCCGCCCGCUGCUGCAAUCGACGCUGUUUUUGCAGAAUAACCUGCACUCCAUCUGCGAGGCGCAGGCGCGGUUCGCGCGGAAGGAGAGAGCGGAGGAUGCUGGAAGUGCGGAACAGCGCAACGCAAUUAGUCUGUCACCGUCGAAAGCGGCUGUAUCCGUAGCGGUCAAACCCGUGCCCCAGUACACCGUUCCGUUAGAGGAGCAGAGUGCGGCUGGUGUGCCGUCGCCGGCGAGCGUGGCCGACGUGGAGACGUGCGAGGGUGUGGAAGGGGUGAGUCAGGGGCGGAUGACAGGCCGCACCGCAAUCGCCGAAACGGCUUCGCCGGUGGUGCUCGGCUCCGCUGCCGCUUCGGCAACAGCAGCGUCCACCGCGCGAGAGUUGAACCAAACGCGCAGCAGCUGCAGAGGUACUCAAGUCCCUUCUGUGGACUCUGUGCUGCCGUCGUCCGUCUCGCCCUCAAUAGGCAAGCGGUCCAACGCGUCGAGUCUGCCCGUCAACUGCAUUCAAGAAGGGCAGGGGAGGCAGGAGGAGCCGCUCCGCAAGCAGGCCGAGAUGCACGUGAAUCCCACGGCCGCCGCCGCCGUGUCUGUGGCACAUGAGAGCAACGGAAUCUCACCACAUCGGUACUACCGAGCCCUCACGGAGGCAAAAUGCCUCGUGCGUCACGUUCACGGCGUCGAUGGGGUGGAGCGGGAGGUGGACAACGACUCCAUGGACUUGGUCGUGUACGCCGGCAUGCACCUGAUGGGUUGGUUGGAGGUGGUGAGUCUGCUGGGCUGCGGCAGCUUUGGUCAAGUAUUCCUUUGCAAGGACUUGCGCAUCUGCGACGGCCACUUUGUCCACCCAAGCGAGAUCGAGGGCGAGGACUACGAGUAUUGGAACUGCUCCCACGCCUACCUCCCCUUCAGCAGCGUCGACGCCGUGCCGACGCAUCGGCCGCUUGUCGCCGUCAAGGUGGUGAAAAGCGUGCCGCUGCUGGAGCAGCAGUCGGUUCUAGAGGCGGAGAUGCUUGUACUGAUCGGAGCGCAGACCGCGCUACCUCCGGCGAACGCAGCGGAGGAGGCUCGUGAGUCGGCCAUCCCGGCAUUCGCAGCGCCACAGGUGGUCGAAUUGGCGUCAAUGAGCCACCGCCGGCGGAUCCACGCUGCGCCAACAUCGCAAAGGUGCUCGCCGACGGCAUCUGCUACGGCCAUCACUGCAUUGUGAUGGAGAGGUACGGCGCGAACCUGUACGAGUACAUCGCCGCGAACGAUCACCGUGGGCUUCCCAUGUACCAAAUCCGCUCUAUCGGCGCACAGCUCUUCUCCGCUCUCUCGCUCGUGCACGAGGAGUGCCACAUCAUCCACGCUGACAUCAAGCCAGAGAAUGUGCUGCUGACGCUUGACUCAGGCAGAGGCACACUGCGGGUGACGGACGAGCCGUCGCCCAUAACCGCUGCCACAGCAGCCGCGACGCCCCCCGCUGAGGCCAUGAGCAAUAGCAACGCCAGCACCACUGCAGUGGCGACCAAGACCCCGCGUAGCGUCCCACAGCAAAAUGCGUUUGCUGAGGCUGCGCACCGCUCUCCGAGCAGCACGUCGCCAAAUGCCGAACCGCCGUGGCACCAGCAGCGCACCGAGUCUGCGGCGUCGUCGUCCGCUUCGCCCUCGCUGCCGGCAGAGCGCUCGCACACCGCGCGAGUCGGCCCUGGCGCUGUCGCGCGGCAGCGGCUCGGCUUUAAGGGGAAGCGCCGAAACUCGAACACCCUCCUGGACCUCUCCUCCUCGCCGAUGACGCUCGCGACGUACAAGGGUCACAGUUUGUGCCACCUCCGCUCAAGCUCGGCCAGCCGCGCCACCAUUGUGGAGCAAACAGACAUGCCGACCCCCGAGCCGCGCCGCAUGCACAUGCUGAGCCAGUCUUCCGCUCUUGUCACCAGUGCCGCGAGCGGCAUGUCGUUGCAAAGCCUUGGCGGUGGUGGUGCCGGCAGUUACAGUCGUCACAUGAUGCAAGCACCUGCUGCGCCCGUGGAGGAGGCGCCGGCGGUGCCAGUAGCACCGGCUGCUUCGCACCUGCACGUUCGGCUCAUUGAUUUUAGCUCCAGCUGCUACGACGGUGGCCCGUUUUACCAAUACAUCCAGUCCCGCUACUAUCGUGCACCGGAGGUAAUUAUAGGGGCGCCGUACAACUCUGCAAUCGAUGUGUGGUCGACUGGCUGCUUGCUUGCGGAGCUGCUGCUGGGCAUGCCGCUGCUCCCCGGCUGCAACGAUCACCACCAGCUCUCGCUCGUGGAGGAGAUGAUUGAGCCGCUGCCCGACUACCUGGUAGAGAAUGGAGACAACGCCGACUUGUUUUACAUCGUAGCAGCGCCGGGGGGCGAGGGUAGUACCGAUGCCGCGCUGCCUCGUGCGCCAGCAGCUGCAGCGCCCGGCGCAACUGCGUCAGCGACGCUGCAGCAGCCUCGGUCGUUUGCUUUGCGCACACGCGAGAACUACCUGGAGGUCACCGGCAGCGAGCCGCUGCAGUACCGCCGCUACUUCACGUACCAGACUCUGCAGGAGCUGGUGCGGCACUGCCCUUUGACGCUCGAGGAGCGGCGCAUGAGCAACGGGCUACAUCCGUACGUGUCAGCCAACGAGUCCUCCGCGAUACCCCCCGAUGCGACGCCGUCGCUGUCGGUGCGAUCAGACAUGAUGAAGCAGCGCUACUUGCUCUUCGAUUUGCUGCGACGUCUCCUUCAGACGGACUCGAAACUGCGCCCCACCGCCGCCCAGGCACUCCAGCACCCGUUCUUCAGCUCGCUUCCACCGUAUUUCAAGACCUUUGCGCUCGACUGAGAAGCCUCACUGGCGGUGGUAAUGGUGCACCUUCCCGAGUACGUGCGUGCUCUCGUAGUGGCUGGUGCUGAUGCGGGUGCCCCGAUGUGGACAAGGAAAGAUGGCGGCACCCCUCAACGCGUGGCAUCUCAGGGUCUGGCACACCCGCCCUCUGUGGGGCAGCUGAGUAGCCCCCCGCCCGUGUCCCCCGCCAGUGCCGAAGCACUUCUGCUGCUGGUAGGGCCAGGCACCUACGGCGUGUGGGAGGUCAGAGCGAUGCAGCGCCACUGAUGUCGGCAUCCAGGUCGUAUAUAACGCUGCGCCGGAGCGAUCUGCGACUGUGAACACGACUGUGCCAUCCAUAUGGUAGGCGACGUGUGAGCGUGACUCGAGCGUAUCUCGCCCGGCCCUCACUGCCCUGCUGGUGGGGUGGGGCGCCUGUGUGCCACCCGGAGGGUGAUGCGCCGGGUGGCGAGCAGCACAAUGGGAAGCGACUGUGAGGCAGCCUGCUUGGUGGGCGGGUGGGCAGAGUUUGAGGCAGAGACGGCGCUCCGAUGACUGUGUCGGCGCAUUGCUGUAACGCGCUUCUAGCGCUGCUUCGCACCGCGCGGAAUGGGGGCCUGUGGCAGGCUGUGAGGGGUAGGGUGGAGUGGAGCUCGUGCUGUAUGGCGGCUAAUGAAGGCCUUGUAAAAGAAAUUGACAGGAUUGGGAAGUGUGGAGGCGUGUGUGUUUGCUUUGUAUGUAUGAUUUGAAUGAGGGUGACUGUGUGCCUCAUGUUAUGAUGUCCGUCCAGCCAUUUUUUCCUGUGUGUUUGCGCGUGCGUGUCUUCUUCGGUGGUGCGGUGGGGGGUUCCUGUUCGCUUCCUUCUUUCCUAUUUUUUUAGGGGUUUCGCUUUCGUAGAUGAGCUGUAAUUUGGUUCCGUUUUUUGGGUCUUCCUCUCUCUUUCACUGUCACUCGCUCGUUUCCCUUUUUGUGUUCGGUGCGCGUACGCGUAUGCGCUUGCCACGUGAUGGCGAGGACCUGUCACGUCUCCAAGUAUGUAUGUAUCAUGUAUAUAUACUUGUGUGUGUGCCGACCAUGCACGUGUACAGUUGUCUGGCGUUCUCGUCUGUGCAUUUAAGUUUCCCGUCUCUCUCACUCUGACUCGACUUUAUAUAUAUAUAUAUCCCUUGCCCCCCCCCACGUACACACACAUCGCCUCUUUUUUUUUUCUGCCUUAUUGUUGUUUAGCGUACUCGUUUUCGUGUUCGGUCACGCAGCCUCAGCGGAGCGUGUGCAGAGGAAACGGCCUCGUGAGUCAUGCGCCGCCACACGCGCUGCCCUUCCUGUUCCCACGCGUGCUCCACGUCCUUUCCAUGAAGGCAGAGGGGUGGGGAAAGGGGGGCCUUCCACGCGAGCAGCGAUGAAAAAGGAAGACGAUUUGCGCAAGGGAGGGAUUGGCACGGUCUGCAGACACGCUUACGCGCAUACGCGGGCGCUCUUUAGCGCCCAACGCCCCGCCAACUCCUGAAAGGCUGCAAAGAAGAAGCAAGAGAAAAGGGGAAGAAAUUCGUACAAGCCGCUUUUUCAGUGGCGCCGUAGUUGGACAGCAGUUGCACUCUGCGGCAAUCUACAGCUCGGCGGCUCAUUGUUGCCCUCCUCAGUUUUAUUCCCUUGGCUAGGAAGCGUGCAAGGUUUUCAGAUGCUACACCAACCAUAGUUUCUCUCGCCCUUCUCUACCUUCGCCGCACGCGCGUGCACCGGCAGCUCGAGUAACUCUUUUCUUCCCUCUCGGUGACGCGCCUUUGAAGAGGUGUAUCACACACGGUUUCCGCACCGUAUCAAGACGAUCGUGUCUGCUCACUCGUCCACUCCUCCCGCCCCACCCCCUGUGCGCCGUCUGCCUCUUUUCUGUUUCGAGCAAACAAUCGAACACGACUGCGCGGACUCCGUCGACGACACCCGAACCUCGCACAACACGCUUCACGGUACACUGCACUUCACCAUCCCUCCACUCGACCGCGCUGUUCCCUGUGUUGCCCUCCCUCUCUCCCCCGCUUCUGUUUGCUGCGGUCAG
rnacentral:misc_RNA from 1 species